rnacentral:rRNA from 1 species
GGUAGUCCACGCCGUAAACGAUGUCGACUUGGAGGUUGUGCCCUUGAGGCGUGGCUUCCGGAGCUAACGCGUUAAGUCGACCGCCUGGGGAGUACGGCCGCAAGGUUAAAACUCAAAUGAAUUGACGGGGGCCCGCACAAGCGGUGGAGCAUGUGGUUUAAUUCGAUGCAACGCGAAGAACCUUACCUACUCUUGACAUCCAGAGAACUUAGCAGAGAUGCUUUGGUGCCUUCGGGAACUCUGAGACAGGUGCUGCAUGGCUGUCGUCAGCUCGUGUUGUGAAAUGUUGGGUUAAGUCCCGCAACGAGCGCAACCCUUAUCCUUUGUUGCCAGCGGUUAGGCCGGGAACUCAAAGGAGACUGCCAGUGAUAAACUGGAGGAAGGUGGGGAUGACGUCAAGUCAUCAUGGCCCUUACGAGUAGGGCUACACACGUGCUACAAUGGCGCAUACAAAGAGAAGCGACCUCGCGAGAGCAAGCGGACCUCAUAAAGUGCGUCGUAGUCCGGAUUGGAGUCUGCAACUCGACUCCAUGAAGUCGGAAUCGCUAGUAAUCGUAGAUCAGAAUGCUACGGUGAAUACGUUCCCGGGCCUUGUACACACCGCCCGUCACACCAUGGGAGUGGGUUGCAAAAGAAGUAGGUAGCUUAACCUUCGGGAGGGCGCUUACCACUUUGUGAUUCAUGACUGGGGUGAAGUCGUAACAAGGUAACCGUAGGGGAAMCCYKG